CGUAUCGUCAGAAAAAAAAGGAGGAAAGAAAAAAAAGAACAAGAUCGAUUCGAAACAAUCAAUACAGUUUUCUUUAUCCGACGGACUCGAGUAUCGAUGCGAAAUAAAAAGAAAAAAAAAAAAAAAUAGAAAGGAAAAAAAGAUAAAAGACGCAUGUCAAACGAGCGAUAAUAAUACAGUCUAAUUUCAACGUUGGUACGUCACAACGGCAUGAUAUUAUAUCGACAAAACAUUCGUAUUUACGAGUGCUAAUGAUGCGAAUUGAUUAAUAUGUGUUCGUGUUCGUGAGGAAAUCGGGGGGAAAAAAAGAAGCAUGGAAAAAAAGGAUAAGCGGAAUGAAGCGAAGGCGACAUAUGUGUACCACAACGCACUACGCCAUCGUGUAAGCGCAUAGUGAGAGAGAAGCCGGCGUAUGCAAAAGACCGACGUAUGUGAUAAAAUCAAAUCCCGUGUCCCUGGUUACGUGAGUGACAGGGCGGCUUCAUCACCGCGGGACGCGCGAGAGAUAAAAGCUGGAGCGCAUAACAAGGUGCCUGCGAAAGUGCACUCUCGCGACAAGGGGCCAAAGCUACGAUUCGCAACGCGUGUGUACGUAUUUCUACUAACGCGAUAUCUCUCGUCUUUUGGAUCAACAAGACGUCCACCGUGAUAAACGAGUCGAGCUGACGCAUAAUUGGAAGUGAGGCGACGAUGAAACGAAACGAGCACGCUCGUUUUUCCUUUCUUAGCGAGGACUGUCCCAGCAGGAACAAAAAAAAUAUAUGUGUGUAUGUAUGCAUGUAUGUUUGUAUAUAGUAUCCGUCUAAACGUACUUCCCAAUUUAAGCGAAUCAAGAAAUCUAAGAGGAGAAUAAGGAAGAAAAAAAAGGAACAAGGAAAAGAAAAAUACGAACGAUUGAUUAGCUUGUUGUUUGAGAUCGUUUAAUACAGUUUCGUUUUUAUUAAGAAUGACGACAACGAUCAUGAUGAUGAUGAUGACGACGAUGAUGAUGAUGACGAGAACAUGAGUAAAAAUAGCAUCGAAAGCGAAUCGAGGAGAGUUCAAGAGCGAAGGCCUCGACUGUAUUGCUUAUCGAGUCGAACGAGAGAGAAGAGAUAUAUGGAUGAAGAACGAGAAAGAAAAAGAGAGAGAGAGAGAGAGAGAGAGAGAGAGAGAGAGGGAGAAGAAGAAGAAAAAGGAGAGAAAAAGAGAGAGAGAGAGAGAGACAAUAGGUCGAAUGUAAAUGCAAGAACGUGAGUCCCAUCUAGAUCGUUAUUCGAGUGUACGACGAAAAGCAAUGUUCUGUCGCGUCGAAGAGCUAUUCAACUCCAUCGAAUCCUUCACUUUUUAUCCCGUCAACAUCCUGAUCGUUCUCGCAUUGAAUUUCAAUUCCUUCUCUGUUAGCAGCAUCGAAAGCCAAAAGAGAAACAAGCUUAAUUAUACAUUUAAAAUCUCAAUUAAAAGUCACGCUUGUUUCGAAAAAAGAAAAAAAAAGAGAAAGAAAAAGAAAAAAUGCUUAUGGCUUAUGUACGAUGAAAGAAGAAAAAGAAAAUAAGACAAUCUUCAUCGUCAACCUCGAAACGAAAGCAAAGUAAUAGUUAUCGACAAAGGGAUAUCCAGAACGAAUGUGAUAAGAAAAGGAUGAAGGAGAAAAAGAAGAAGGAGAAAUAGGAAAAGAAGAAACAUAAAAGCAAAAAGAAAGAAAAGAAAAAGAAGAGAUCUCAUGGCGGCGAUCAUGGUACCUACGAGUAGAUCGCGGCUCGUGUUUGCGAAGCCAUUAGAAGGCUCGUUACGUGUCACCAAGUCGGAUAUCACCAGCUCUGUCGUCCUUGUCGUCGUCGUCGUCGUCGUCGUCGUUGUCCUCUUCGCGUCGUCAUCGUUCACCUACGAGAAGAAAGAGAGAGAGAGAGAGAAAGAGAGAGAACGAGAUGGAGAGUCGUCGGCCAAGCUCUCGCACAAUUAUGCAUCCGCAGAAGACAGAACAUUAAUUUAUGGUUGAAAUAAGGGCCCGGCGUGUGCGCGCGCGUGUCGGCGCGUCUGUUGCGCCGGACGAGCGUGGGCGCCGUGAGUGCCUCGCUUAAAACAUUUCUCUGGUUCACCUCCGGUGCGCGCCUCCAACGAGCCUCGAGAGAUGCAGAAAGACCGAGAGAGACAGAGAGAGAGAGAGAGAGAGAGAGAGGACCGCGUGUUCGUUAUUUGUACCCACGUAUUUCUAUACACGCGCAUAUAGAAAUGUAUAUCUUUCUCCUUCUCUCUCUCUCUCUCUCUCUCUCUCUCUAUCUUUCUUUUCGCGUGUGUAUGAGACCGAUACAUGGGGUGUUUCAAAAGUCAUCGAUAUAUGACUUUUCAUAUAUAUAUAUUUUUUUUUAUCACAUAGAAUAACGAUUAACGAAUUAAAGAAAUACGUUUCAGUACGAAGAAUUAUUAUCGAUCCGUAUUCGUUUUAAUAAUCGAAACGAAUCUAGCGAUAUAAUAUCGAAGAUGAGAAUCUUUCUUUCUUUCUUUCUCGAUUUCGAUUUAUCGUACACUCUGUAUAUUCACUCGGCGAAGCUCUUAACCCCUCCCAGAUCACUCUUGGUUCUACCUCUCUCUCUUUCUCGAGCGUCGCGAGCUGCGAUGCAGGCGAUUAAUAACCAAGGUGUUUCGAAUAAAUUAAAGCACUUACUUAUCUCCCUCGUGGUGCGUGGUGCACCGAUAGUACGUACCGCGGUCUCGUCGUGACACGACAAACAUAUUCGUUGGAUUCGUUCUCACCUAUUCACCUGGUAUUCCGUCCUGGGAUUGCUUACACUCGGCCACUUGGGUGGUUCCGGGCAUCGCUGUCUUUGCUUGGAACGAUAUUUCAAAGCAGCUACGAUAGCAUCCCCUCUUUCAUUCUCCCUGUCUCUCUUUCUCUUUCUCUUUCUUAGUCUCUCUCUCUCUCUCUUUUUCUCUCUUUCUUUCUUCUUCAAACGGAGCAUCCGUUUCUCAGACGAGAUUGGCGACUUGCAGUCUGCUACUCUUUAAUCUUGAAUACAUCGCACGUAGAAAUCUAUGUUAACUAGAUUGAAACUUAUCGUUACUUAAAUAUCAUUCCUAACGUCCGAACGAUCGUUCAGCAUCCGCUUACGAUUGUAUAUAAAUAUAUGUAUGUGUGUCCGUGUGUCCAUGAUGAAAGAACGCGAUUAAUUAAUUAACAUUAUACUCACGCGUUACUAGGACGAAAGAGUCGAGAAGAAUGCUAUUCUCAGAGCGUGUCACCGAGUUCAAAGAUACUUUGAUCGAUCUCAGUUUCUCGAGUAAUGCACGAUGAGUAUAUGUAAGUAAGUAAGUAAGUACGCGAGUCAGUCCAUUGACCGGUGGUAAUUAACCCAUAAAAGAGAGAAGAGUCUUUUCUACUUGAUUAUACGCGUAUAGGGUAGGUAAGUGAGUGAGUGAGUGAGUGAGUGAGUGAGUAUGUAUAGAUAUACAUACAUACGCAGAGGGUAUGUUGAACAUGUGGCUAAGUGUAUGCAUAAACGUUCUCCCUUCUGUAUAUAUCAUACGUAUGUACAUACGUACGUAGAAGACAAUGGAACGAGGCGUUCCGAUCGCUUAACGGUAUAGAAGUAUCCUCCUCCUCCUCCUCCUCCUCCUCCUCCUCCUUCUUCUUUGCAAGAAAGAGAAUAAGAGAGGAAUAAGGACAGUCGUAAGUUUGAAAGAAGAGGGAGCAGGUCGACGACGUCUUAUUCCUACGGCUAAGGUCGUACCCUUAUACACACACAUACACACAUACACACACACACACACGGCGGCGUAUAUAAUAUAAGAAAAGCAAGAGGAAGAGGAGGAAGAGAAGAACUCAAAGGCAACGUCGUCUUCGUCGUGCAGGAGCUAGCAGGUUCAGCAGAGUUUAACCUUGAGAAUGAUUAGAAAGCAAAAGAUCGUCCAGAGUCCUCCUACUUGGCGGCUUGGAUCACGACUCGUCCUCGCUCCUGCAACCUCUCAGCCUCUCGCAGGACUUUGAACGAGACCGUGACGGUAUCGUCUUAUUCGAAACGGAGCUCGAUACUAAAUUUUCUUUUAUAAUUUCUUCUUAUACUCUACGCUACACUUUAAUUACGUAUAUGCAUAUCCCUUUUAAAUAAUAUUGUUAUUCAAUUUUGUUGUAUCAGAGUAAGAUCGAUCAGAUAAGGAUAUAGGCUGUAUAUCUAUCACACGUGUUUCCAGAUAUUUUUUUUUUUCUUUUUUCUUGUUUUUUUUCCGGCCAUUAAAUGCCGACUAACGCUAUACCUAAUAAUUAUCCUAAAGCUACAUCCUUUUAUGUCGUUCGAAGUCGUGACAAGUUGUUCGAAACUGAUUAGGCGAACGAACGAACGAAAGACCGAAAGAACCGAAAGAAUCGAAGGAAGGGAAGGUUCUCUCUGUCACCAGUUUGGGUUCGCAGGUGCAGCGAUCGAAAUCGUUGGCCGAGGAGCUACCGAGGAUUAGCAGAGACGAGAAUCAUUCGAUAUAAUUGACGGUUCGCGAGGCCUCGGUGAACGAAUUAUGAAAGGCCAGGCAAUGGUCAGCGUCGACGUUCUAAUCGGCAUCGUUCUUCUUUUCUACUGAUUCCUACAGAACAUAUACACGCGCAGUUAUACACAUAGACACCAUAUAUGUGUAGCUAUAUACUACAUAUACAUAUAUAUAUAA